rnacentral:miRNA from 1 species
UCUUAUAAAUAGGAACGGAGG